rnacentral:rRNA from 1 species
AUCCAGCGAGACUUCGGGCUGACACGCGGCCGGGCGCGAGCGGCGGCGGACAUCGCGGUCAAGGAGCUCUCGGAUCGUGGCGUCGUCGAGCUCGAUGACGAUUGACUCGAUGCAGGUCGGACUCGACGAGAAAACUUUGCGCAAAUUUGACCGGCGUCGUGCCACCGGUACGUCUUAGCCUGCGUUGGUACGCCGCGGCGGUGGAUGACCCAGCCACGUCACCCGGUUGAUGAGGCCGGAGGACCGGUCUGUGGGAGCCUUGACUAUGGACGAGCCGCUCGGUCCUUCUGCGGAGAGUAAGCUGCUGGCUGAGGUCCGGAAGGAGCUUGAGCAGUCGGAGACUGAAGCCCGCAUCCCAGCUGCUGGAGUGCU